rnacentral:rRNA from 1 species
UACGAAGGGGGCUAGCGUUGCUCGGAAUCACUGGGCGUAAAGGGUGCGUAGGCGGGUCUUUUAAGUCAGGGGUGAAAUCCUGGAGCUCAACUCCAGAACUGCCUUUGAUACUGAAGAUCUUGAGUUCGGGAGAGGUGAGUGGAACUGCGAGUGUAGAGGUGAAAUUCGUAGAUAUUCGCAAGAACACCAGUGGCGAAGGCGGCUCACUGGCCCGAUACUGACGCUGAGGCACGAAAGCGUGGGGGAUCAAACAGG